rnacentral:rRNA from 1 species
GACGAACGCUGGCGGCGUGCUUAACACAUGCAAGUCGAACGAUGAAGCCGGAGCUUGCUCUGGUGAAUUAGUGGCGAAAGGGUGAGUAACACGUGAGUAACCUGCCCUUGACUCUGGGAUAACUGCGGGAAACUGUAGCUAAUACCGGAUACGACCCUCGGAGGCAUCUCCUGGGGGUGGAAAGAAUUUCGGUCAAGGAUGGACUCGCGGCCUAUCAGCUAGUUGGUGAGGUAAAGGCUCACCAAGGCGACGACGGGUAGCCGGCCUGAGAGGGUGACCGGCCACACUGGGACUGAGACACGGCCCAGACUCCUACGGGAGGCAGCAGUGGGGAAUAUUGCACAAUGGGCGCAAGCCUGAUGCAGCAACGCCGCGUGAGGGAUGACGGCCUUCGGGUUGUAAACCUCUUUUGGCAGGGAAGAAGCGAAAGUGACGGUACCUGCAGAAAAAGCACCGGCUAACUACGUGCCAGCAGCCGCCGUAA